UGGGGAGUGCUCUGUAUUCAAUUCGGUCACUUUCUUUAAAGAGAAAUAAGUAAUGGCCCUUCAACACAGAGACCUGGAAAUAGAGGAGCAAAAUGACCCUUCCAGAACAGAAGCAUAUCCCAACUUGUCCGGUCAAGGGAAUCAUCCUCUGGAGUGCUUUUGGUGAAUUACACGAUAUCCACCAGCCUUUGUGAGAAGUCAUUUUGUUGGCAGAUGACUGCUCUAACAUCCUGUGCACCUAAGGUCCCAGAGAGUCACUAUCCUAGAACUGCCUGGAAUUCUGUAGGCCUAAGUGAUAAAACCACACUCUCCAACUUCCGUAGCCUUCUUCUUACUCCUGAUCAGAUGCUGACUUCUUAGUAAAACAGUUAUCUCCAUUGUGACAAGUAUGACAGCUGCAAAUGAACUUGGCCCUUGUUAAUGGAUGAGGAAGCUCGAUUCUGAUUCCCAGCUCUGCAGUCAACGAUAUCUGUGAAGUGAUUUUUGAACUGUUGAAGUGCUAAGGUGUUUAUGCCAUCACAAAAAUGUAAAGAAUGUCAGAAGAACUCCCCUCAGCCUUAUCGUACCUGCUCUUUAUUGUCUGGCUUUGCACACAGGAUAAUGAGUUUGAUAGCACAAUUAUAUAUUUACUUCUUAGGAAAUCAGUCCUAUAAGACAGUAAGUCACAUGGAGGCCAAACCCUACCUAUUUAGCUCAUCACUAUAUUCUCAUUUGUUCAUUCUGUCCCUGGCACAACACACCUAGAAAGGAAUAGAUGGAAGGAGGGAGGAAGGAAUGGGGGAGAGUUUUGUGAAGUUUUUUAUUAGUCUUUAAGGGGACACAAUUCUCAUUGGUAUGAAACAGUUGGACUUAGUUUAAACUUUGGGAUUGUUUUGAACACUUUCUCUUUUUGGUAUACUAUAUGUGCUUUGAUGCAUAUGAAAAUGUAUUGUACAAAAUUAACAAUAUUAUGGUUUCAGAUACCCUUUAUAGACUAAUUAUAACACAGCAAUAUGCAUCUAUAAGCUUCAUCAUCUGUACAUAAUUUAGGUGUCUGAUAUAUAACACGGAGUUGAAGACCACAAAGGACUUUCAGUUUACUGCAGAAUACCUAGUUGUGGAUUUUCAACUUUAUAAUAUUAUAGCUCUCUUUUCUUUUCUUCUUCUCCAAAUAAGUUGUUAGUUAGCAAGCAAGUACUGAACUGAAAGGGGUGCAGGGAACUGGACUGAGCACUACGAGAAGAUAUAAACUAAUAAAAAGAAAGAAUCUGAUUGCAA